rnacentral:miRNA from 1 species
UGUCUCUCGCCCUUGGCCUUAG